UCAUAAAUGAAAAGAUUGUAUUGCAUUGCACCAUCAGUCAUUUAUGACUUUAGUUUCGAUAGUAAAAUGCUUUCCAGCUACGCAACCAAAAUCAAUUUGGCUAAGUGCCUAAGCACUCAUCCCCAAAAAACCCAUUCCCAAAAACAGGUAUAAAGCUUGGUCAGACAGCGGUAGAAAAAAGGAGACACCAAGUUAACAAGGGACCUGGCUGCCUAUCUGUCCUGUGGCCUCCUCUACUUUCCAUUUCCGCAUUCCUUGUGAUUAUCACACUGGGACCCAUUUUCCACAAUAUCAGCAAAUUGAAAAGGAUACAGAUAUAUAGAUAUACAUAGAUGGAUGGGCACAGGACGAGCGAUAAGAUGACCCACCGUAGGCAUGUGGAUGUGGGUCAGCGGAGCGAUGGACAAAUUCAUUAGGCGCCGGAUAUCGUAAAAGCAGGCCCCAAAGCCCGGCGAAUGUCUCAAUUUACAUUUCGAACAUAUUUUCAUUAGCGCUCUGAGGACGUCGCCCACCAUCAUAGCUGCCAUUUCAUUCCAUUUCGUUUAAAAAAUAAACCCCCACAAGCCAAGAUGCGAAUAUUCUUAAUAU